GGCUUCGUAGCUUAGACGAAAGAAGCGCCCGUCUAGCGAAUUGGGACUCGUGGGUUCGAUUCCCACCGGGGCAC
rnacentral:tRNA from 1 species